CAUCCUGUUUAUGUACCUUCCACUCUUCUCUUUGAAUGGGAGGCUAUGCUAACGGGAUAGAAUAACACUGUCAUGGUCUGAGGGUGUGGCUAACUCACUGUGUACCCCACUAAAUAAAAUGACAGGACAUUUUAUA